rnacentral:pre_miRNA from 1 species
UUUAAAUACAGUUGUUGAUAUUUUUGACGUUUAAUUGUUCUUAUUAUUUAAAUAUUUUUAUAAUUAAUAUUUCUAUAUUAUUAGAUAAUAAAACAUGAAAGAUAUUUUGUAUGUGACUUAAUUUUUUUAAUAUUUUUAUAAUUUUUUUAAAUAAAACGAACAGUUAAACGUUGAAAAAAAAAAUGAUGAGUGCGCUAAAA